rnacentral:rRNA from 1 species
GACGAACGCUGGCGGCGUGCUUAACACAUGCAAGUCGAACGGUGAAGCGCCUUCCUUUUUGGUGGGUGUGGAUGAGUGGCGAACGGGUGAGUAACACGUGAGUAACCUGCCCCCUUCUUCUGGAUAACCGCAUGAAAGUGUGGCUAAUACGGGAUAUUCUGGGUCUGUCGCAUGAUGGGUCUGGGAAAGAUAUUGUUUCGGUGGGGGAUGGGCUCGCGGCCUAUCAGCUUGUUGGUGGGGUGAUGGCCUACCAAGGCGGUGACGGGUAGCCGGCCUGAGAGGGUGGACGGUCACAAUGGGACUGAGACACGGCCCAGACUCCUACGGGAGGCAGCAGGGGGGAAUAUUGCACAAUGGGCGCAAGCCUGAUGCAGCGACGCCGCGUGAGGGAUGGAGGCCUUCGGGUUGUGAACCUCUUUCGCCAGUGAAGCAGGCCUGCCUCGUUUGUGGGUGGGUUGACGGUAGCUGGAUAAGAAGCGCCGGCUAACUACGUG